GGAGAGGUGGCAGAGCGGUCGAAUGCGGCGGUCUCGAAAACCGUUGGGCCCGUAAGGGUCUCCAGGGUUCGAAUCCCUGCCUCUCCG
rnacentral:tRNA from 1 species